rnacentral:rRNA from 1 species
GAUGAACGCUGGCUACAGGCUUAACACAUGCAAGUCGAGGGGAAACGCCGGGGAAGCUUGCUUCUCCGGGCGUCGACCGGCGCACGGGUGAGUAACGCGUAUCCAACCUGCCUCUGACUGAGGGAUAACCCGUCGAAAGUCGGCCUAAUACCCCAUGGCACCGUCUGCGGGCAUCCAACGACGAUUAAAGAUUUCAUCGGUCAGGGACGGGGAUGCGUCUGAUUAGGUUGUUGGCGGGGUAACGGCCCACCAAGGCUACGAUCAGUAGGGGUUCUGGGAGGAAGGACCCCGACAUUGGAACUGGGACACGGUCCAAACUCCUACGGGAGGCAGCAGUGAGGAAUAUUGGUCAGUGAGCGGGAGCCUGAACCAGCCAAGUAGCGUGCAGGAUGACGGGCCUAUGGAUUGUAAACUGCUUUUAUGAGGGGAUAAAGUGAGAGACGUGUCCUUCAUUGCAGGUACCGCAUGAAUAAGGACCGGCUAAUUCCGU